rnacentral:rRNA from 1 species
UACGGGGGAGCAAGCGUUGUUCGGAUUUACUGGGCGUAAAGGGCGCGUAGGCGGCCAGCACAAGUCAGUUGUGAAAUCUCCGAGCUUAACUCGGAAAGGUCAACUGAUACUGUGCGGCUAGAGUGCGGAAGGGGCAACUGGAAUUCUUGGUGUAGCGGUGAAAUGCGUAGAUAUCAAGAGGAACACCUGCGGCGAAGGCGGGUUGCUGGGCCGACACUGACGUGAGGCGCGAAAGGCCCAGGGGAGCGAACGGGG